rnacentral:misc_RNA from 1 species
GAAGAAACUUGGAUGCAAACCUGACAUGUAUGCAUACAACACACUCAUGUCGGGGAUGGUAAGAGCCAGCAUGAUAAAAGAAGCUCAUUCCUUGCUGAGAACCAUGGAGGAAAAUGGUUGCUUUCCAGACAUAAACUCACAUAACGUUAUCCUAAAUGGCUUGGGUAGGACAGGCAGUCCCAACCAGAUAAUUAAAAUGUUCAUGAAGAUGAAACAUUCCAUGACUAAGCCAGAUGCAGUUUCUCACAACACUGUUCUUGGCUGUCUGAGUCAUGCUGUUAUGCUUGAAGAAGCUGCCAAGCUGAUGAAAGAGAUGAAUUCAAAAGGAUUUGAAUAUGAUCGCAUCACUUAUUCAUCAAUUCUUGGGGCAGUUGGUAAGGUUGAUGAAGA